GCCCACAGCGGCGGGGCCCCCUCGAUGGUCUCACCGUCGAAGCUGACGGAGCCGCCCUCCUCCACGCGGGCCCCGCAGUGAUCCAGCAGGUUUUACGAAGUCAUAAUGUCCUGAGCUGUAACGGAGCCACAGAGGUGACGCAGGCCAGCCCAUGGGAUGCACUUUCCUGCCUAGGAGGUGGCAAAGCCUCGUCCCCACCAGCGAACACAGAUUUACUCACUCCAAUCAGGUCCAAUUCAAUCCAUUAGGCCCAGCUCACUCCAUCCCUGCGCGACAAUACCUGCCCCGAGUGAGGGAAAACACUCAAGCAAUAAAUAGCUCAGCUUAGAUGAGCAAAGCUUUA